GGAGGUGGAGGAGGACCUUUAAAAAAUAAAGAAUAAAAAAGUACAAAACCAAAGACUUGGGUGGAUACGGUGGCUCACGCCUGUAAUCUCACCACCUCAAGAGGCCGAGGCAAGUGGAUCACCUGAGGUCAGGAGUUCGAGACCAGCCUGGCCAACAUUGUGAAACCUCAUCUCUACUAAAAAUACCAAAAUUAGUCAGGUGCAGUGGCAGGCGCAGUGGCAGGCGCCCGUAAUCCCAGCUACUUGGGAGGCUGAGGCAGGAGAAUCGCUUGAACUCAGGAGGCAGAGGUUGCAGUGAGCCGAGCUCACACCAUUGCCAUUGCACUCCAGCCUGAGCAACAAGAGUGAGAUUCCGUCUCAAAAAAAAAAGAAAAAACAAAAAACAAAAACUUACGUUCAUGAACAAAGUCUGAACACUUACUAAUUCUAAGGCCAGGGUAAAUCUUUCAUCUCACUCAGCCUCAGUUUCCUUAUCUGUAAAACGGGGAUCAUAAUUUGUCACCCAAAUUGUGAGGAUUGGGUAGAAACAUUUUUAAUAAGGGCAUGUAUGUGAGCAUCCUCCAUGUAGAGCAAAAAGUUGUCUAAAUGUAAGAGGUUGUUGUUUUUCUUCAUCUCAGAGCAGGAGCCAGGGCAGGAAGUAGGCGGGCUGCUUAGGGCGCCCAAGUGUCCCUGCCCAAGAGUGACUGCUUCCGUCCCUGGUGUUCAUAAAGUCCCCAGGAAAGGAGGAGGGCAGGCUGGAGGAAAGGGCAAAGCUCUAGGUCCUUAUCGAGAACUUUGCCUCCAUGCAAGAGCCCUCCAGGGGAAGAGAAGUUCUAGACUACCACCACUGAGCUCCAAGCAUUCCAGAGGACUCAGCGGGGAGGAAUUCUGCCAGCGCCCGGCCCAGCAGGAGCUGGGGAGAGGCCUGGAUGAGUAGGUCGUAUCCUCCCCCUCAGCCUGUGUCAUGGCGCUGCCCUGGCCUCAUGGUCCAGGACCCAGCCCCCAUAGCCUGUCCUACCAAGGGGAACACCAGACUCCAGCACUGCGAUG
rnacentral:lncRNA from 1 species